GCCAGGCGUGGUGGUGCAUGCCUGUAAUCCCAGCUACUCGGGAGGCUGAGGCAGGAGAAUCACUUGAACCCAGGAGGUGGAGGUUGUAGUGAGCAGAGAUGGCACCACUGCACUCCAGCCUGGGUGACAGAGUGAGACUCUGUCUCAA
ensembl:misc_RNA Metazoa_SRP Metazoan signal recognition particle RNA